AGGCCGAAAGGCGUAGUCGAUGGGAAACAGAUUAAUAUUUCUGUACUCGAUAUAAUUGCGAUGGGGGGACGGAGCAGGCUAAACAAGCAUGGCGUUGGUAGUCCAUGUGAAAGUGAGUAGGUUGGUGACUUAGGUAAAUCCGGGUUGCUGUUAAGACUGAGACACGAGACGAGUCACUACGGUGAUGAAGUUGUUGAUGCCAUACUUCCAGGAAAAGCCUCUAAGCUUCAGAUUAUAUGGAAUCGUACCCC
rnacentral:rRNA from 1 species